rnacentral:lncRNA from 1 species
CAUCAGUCACCCUUGUGAGUGCACUUUAGCCAUAGCAAGAGCAAGAUCAGAGAGAAAUAAGGACUUAUGACCAUUAGACCAGGAGACAGGAAGCGAUGGUUCUGGAAGGGGCUCUGUUACUAACUUUGGAAUUCAACUGUCCAGAUAGAAAGGUGGACAUGGAAAAAUUGGGCUUUGCAAAUGGUCACCCAAUUCUUGCCUUCCUGGUCUCCAGAUCACCCUUCCUAUACCGCCACUCUGGAGAAAGAAGUACAGAACGCUAACAAGCUAGAUACAGAGGACCUAACAUACAACUCAGAGUCCCUAGAAGAUGGAGAAAACACAGACAAUUGGCAGAGGAGAUGAGCAUGUGAUUAUUGUUACCACUUGUCUGGAAGCAACCAGAAUGGAGUGGGGAAGACUCAAGGAGGAGAUCUUCACAGGACUCACCUCUCAUCACAGCUCCCGUGUGGUUGUAAUCACCCCAGAGGGAAAAAUAAUUUCGGUUUUUUAUGGUUUAAUUAUUGGUGAUAGCAGCUGUUUUGAAGACACAAACACAGAAGCAAGUUCUAGAACAUACUCACAGUUUCCUUGGUCACAGUGUUGUCAGUGGUUCUAUAAAGGUCUUAUGAAUCUCUACUUAGUUGACCACAAGUAGUAAGCAAGAAACAAUCCUGUAAAGAGAAUGGAGGUCAGAAUAAAGAAGCCUUGAGGGUUUAAAUCGCUUCUUGAAAAGGUAAUAAUAUUUACUCUUUUAAAAAUUAUAAACAAUACAUGUUCCUUUUACAGAAAAAAAAGAAAAAAAUAAGGAAACAGGACAUAAAACUCAUCUGUUAUUCCACCAUCUAGAUACAACUACUGUUAACCCAGGAACACUUAAAGAGUGUUUCAUGAAUAUUUAUGUAUACAUGCAAAUAUAUUUUCUAUCGGUCUUAGUUUACAAAACAGGGAUCCUAUUGUCCUUGCUGUUUUGUGACCUUUUCUUUCAUUGAAUAAGAUAUUAAUGAAUAUCCUUUGCCAGUAAAUAAACUUCAACUCUGUGGUGGACACAUUCUAAGAUGAUUCCCUUUGAUCCCCACCCCCUUGUGUUCUCACCAUUGUAUAACUGUGUGAUCACUCCAUUUGAGUGUGGGCUGAACUUCUGACUUACAUCCAACCAAUUGAAUAUCACAGUGUUGGGAUAUCAUUUCCAAGAUUAGGUUACAAGAAGACUCUAUCUUCUUGCUCAUGCUCUCUUAUUCUCUGGCUUGCUUUCUGCCAUGGAGCCAACUGCCAUGUCAUCAACUGUCUGCCCUACAGAAAUGCCCGUGUGUCAAGGAGCUAAGGGAGACCAGCCCAGGAGGAGCUGAAUCCUGCCAACAAUCACUUGAGUGAACUUGAGAGUGAAUCCUCUCCAUGUUAAGCCUUGAGGUGAUUGUAGCUCCAUCAAAUACCUUCAUUGUAGCCUUGUGAGAGAUCUGAGUCAGAGGAUGGAGUUAAGCCAAGCCCAGAUUCCAGACCCUCAGAAACUGUGAGAUAAUAAAUUUGUUGUUCUAAGCUACUAAGUUUUGGUGUAAAACAGCCAUAGAUAACUGAUACAAAUCACAUAAUUUUUAAUAGCUGCUUCAUAUGUUAAUAUGUCUGUACCAUAAUUUACUCAAUCUUUUGUUGCUGCACAUUUUGGUUAUUUUGUUUUGCUAUUAUAAACAGGGCUGCAAUGAAUAUUAUUGUACUUAAACAUUGGUACACGUUCUUCUUUCCUAAGGAUAAAUUCCUUGAAGUAAAAUAGCUGGCUUUCAAUGGGUAUGCAUUUUUUUAAAGCUUUUGGUAUGUUAUUCCCCAAUCACUUUCUGUUAGGAUUGUAUUCAUUUACAGUCCUGCUGGCUGUAGUUCAGGUUAAUUUCAACUACUUUAUCUUGAGUUGUCUCCAUGAAAACCAGUUAGAAACCGAAACCAAAGCCCCAAACAAGAAAAGCCCCAAACAAGAACCCAGGAAAGAAAACUAAGGUUGAAUCUUGAAAACUAUGAGAUAAAUUUGAAGCUAAACAAUUUUCAAAGUACCAUUGUUUUGAAAUAAGUCUGAUAAAUUCAACCACCCUCAAAUUGUUAUUCUUAUCUUUCAAUGGACACAGAAGUCCUGAAAAUGUGGUGAUACUCAUAGUCUUCACGAACUUUGAAAGGGAAAACAACAAUUUCUCUGGUUGAAGUCAACAUAACAAUAGGCUAGUUUGAAAAUCCUGUUUUUUUUCAGUUGCACAAAGGAUUGUCAAUAAAUUCAACUUUUUAAAUUACU